rnacentral:rRNA from 1 species
GAUGAACGCUGGCGGCGUGCCUAAUACAUGCAAGUCGAGCGAACAGACGAGGAGCUUGCUCCUCUGACGUUAGCGGCGGACGGGUGAGUAACACGUGGAUAACCUACCUAUAAGACUGGGAUAACUUCGGGAAACCGGAGCUAAUACCGGAUAAUAUAUUGAACCGCAUGGUUCAAUAGUGAAAGACGGUUUUGCUGUCACUUAUAGAUGGAUCCGCGCCGCAUUAGCUAGUUGGUAAGGUAACGGCUUACCAAGGCGACGAUGCGUAGCCGACCUGAGAGGGUGAUCGGCCACACUGGAACUGAGACACGGUCCAGACUCCUACGGGAGGCAGCAGUAGGGAAUCUUCCGCAAUGGGCGAAAGCCUGACGGAGCAACGCCGCGUGAGUGAUGAAGGUCUUCGGAUCGUAAAACUCUGUAUUAGGGAAGAACAAAUGUGUAAGUAACUAUGCACGUCUUGACGGUACCUAAUCAGAAAGCCACGGCUAACUACGUG